GUACACUGGUCAUAAAGUUCGUUAUAAAAACACAUUUAAUUGGUCAUAAAUGUUCGAUAUAAAAACGCUUUCAAUUUCACCUUUUUUGGUGCAAGUCAAUUUGGCGUCACGUCGCCCAGCUUGUGAUUCCGGAACAGUUCUCCUCGUAUCGACUAUGAGUUUGGACAAACUCUUUCACCAAAUCCUCUGCGCGGAACGACACUUCAGUGAGCAGACUCAAAAGUUGAAAGAAGUCAAAGCAGCCAUCGUCAGAUGCAACUCUCAGUUGAAAGCGACCACGGAAAAGUACCAGAAGACCACUGAAGAACUUGAACUGAAGGACCAGCAGUUGUCUGCGGUGAGGCUGCAGUGGGGCUUGAUGAAGAAAAACCACCAGCAGAUAUCCGAGCAAGGCGAGGAGCUCCUCGGCGAGAAGGUUCACCUCCAGGAACGUCUGGAAAGGAUGAAGACGGCGUUGAAGGACGAGGAGCGAGAAUUCCUGCGGGAGAUCUGCAGCUUCAACUGCCGUUUCAGUCUCUGCGGGAGCACAGGGAUGAGAGGCCGUACGCUCGCCGAAGACCUCGACCUGCACAUGGAGCUGGACUCUUUGUACAAAGACAUGGAGGAGAUGAUCCAGAGUAACUCUCACACGAGCGACUUACUGAAACAGAAGAGGAGCCUCCAGAUCGAACUGCAGGCGCUUAAAAGCGUACACGCAGACAUGGAGAGGGAGCUGAGUGAGGCCCGAGAAUUGACGGCAGUUCUGCGGGCCGAAAGCCACGCUGCCGGUCAGAAGGCUUUCACGGACAGCGCCGUCGUCAAGUUGAGGAAGGAGCUGGAGAUGCACCAAGAGGGAGACAUGGAACUCCUGCUGGAGACCCUCAAGAUGGAAGUACAACACCUCCAGAGCAUUCCAGGCAGCCGUCCAGCUUCCGGCUGACGCUUUGAGUCUCGCAGCUGCACUCCGGGUCCAAAGGACUCCUGGUGUUCUUGCAGCGCGACUGAUAAAGCGCUCGGCUGUCUUCUGCGACGGGUGCUCAUCCUCACGUGGGUCGCUGAAGUGCUGCAUCUUAUCCCAGCCGUCAACGGGUAGGAGGCAGGGUACACCCUGAACUGGUCGCCAGCCAAUCGCAGGGCACAAGGAGACGGACAACAGCCGCACUCACAAUCACACCUAGGGGCAAUUUAGAGUGUCCAAUAAUUGUCGCAUGUUUUUGGGAUGUGGGUGGAAACCGGAGUGCCCGGAGGAAACCCAACGCAGGCACGGAGAGAACAUGCAAACACCGCACAGGCGGGUCCGGGAUUGAACCCGGGACCCCAGAACUGUGAGACCAACGUUUCUGAGUUUAUCCACCUUUCCACCUGCUAAGAUAAUGCUAGCGUAAAUUGUGAUAAAAACUGCAGUAUAUCCAUCCAGCCAUUUUCUUUGCCGCUUAUCCUCACGAGGGUCGCCGGGAGUGCUGGAGCCUAUCCCAGCAGUCAACGGGCAGGAGGCAGGGCACACCCUGAACUGGUCGCCAGCCAAUCACAGGGCAC